rnacentral:rRNA from 2 species
GAGUUUGAUCCUGGCUCAGAUUGAACGCUGGCGGCAUGCCUUACACAUGCAAGUCGAACGGCAGCACGGGAGCUUGCUCCUGGUGGCGAGUGGCGAACGGGUGAGUAAUGCAUCGGAACGUAUCCUGGAGUGGGGGAUAACGUAGCGAAAGUUACGCUAAUACCGCAUAUUCUGUGAGCAGGAAAGCGGGGGACCUUCGGGCCUCGCGCUCUUGGAGCGGCCGAUGUCGGAUUAGCUAGUUGGUGAGGUAAAGGCUCACCAAGGCGACGAUCCGUAGCAGGUCUGAGAGGAUGAUCUGCCACACUGGAACUGAGACACGGUCCAGACUCCUACGGGAGGCAGCAGUGGGAAUUUUGGACAAUGGGGGCAACCCUGAUCCAGCCAUGCCGCGUGAGUGAAGAAGGCCUUC